GCUCCUGUAGUGUAGUGGUUAGCACCCUGGACUUUAAAUCCAGUAACCACGGUUCAAACCCGCGUAGGAGCG